rnacentral:rRNA from 1 species
UUAGAGGCAAACGGGUGGACCCGCAAUACGUCGACCCGGGGGAUUCAACCAGGCCGUGCGUUCGGGACGCGUGGGGGUUAUGCGGAGCUGUAAAGCCCGUGCCUUUGCGUAGGUCUCCGGGCGGACUGGUGCACUUUCCUCGGGUCGAUUGCCACGACCGGCUCUCCGUGCGGCCACAAGCCUUUUGCUGGGAAGGUGACCGUCGGCCUCCGCGCCGGCGGUGUUAUAGCCCAGCUUGUUCGUUGAGCUCGUCGGAGGGCCGAGGAAGUGUUGCCGUUUCUCAGCCACCCUCCGGCCAUCCUUGCUCGUCACGACUGGGGUGAACUGCUUCGUCAGUGCUCUCCCGACCGCGAGCGUAGGAAGGGCUGGUACGGUGCGAGAAAGCUUCGGGCCAGUGGCGAAUCGGUCGGUCCUCCACCCGACCCGUCUUGAA